ACUUUUUGCGGUCUGGGCUUGCUGUCCAAUCACUAUCCAGGAAGCCCUUACCCCAAAAAGCAU
ensembl:miRNA gmo-mir-129-4 gmo-mir-129-4